GAUGAACGCUGGCGGCGUGCCUAAUACAUGCAAGUCGAGCGAACGGACGAGAAGCUUGCUUCUCUGAUGUUAGCGGCGGACGGGUGAGUAACACGUGGAUAACCUACCUAUAAGACUGGGAUAACUUCGGGAAACCGGAGCUAAUACCGGAUAAUAUUUUGAACCGCAUGGUUCAAAAGUGAAAGACGGUCUUGCUGUCACUUAUAGAUGGAUCCGCGCUGCAUUAGCUAGUUGGUAAGGUAACGGCUUACCAAGGCAACGAUGCAUAGCCGACCUGAGAGGGUGAUCGGCCACACUGGAACUGAGACACGGUCCAGACUCCUGCGGGAGGCAGCAGUAGGGAAUCUUCCGCAAUGGGCGAAAGCCUGACGGAGCAACGCCGCGUGAGUGAUGAAGGUCUUCGGAUCGUAAAACUCUGUUAUUAGGGAAGAACAUAUGUGUAAGUAACUGUGCACAGCUUGACGGUACCUAAUCAGAAAGCCACGGCUAACUACGUG
rnacentral:rRNA from 1 species